CAGUUCCUGUCCUUACCACCUAAGCCCUGGACUGAGUUGCUUCCCCUUCCUUGGAAGUCUCUACAGCAGUACCUUCACUCAAGAUAGCCACCAUAGUAAUGCUCCCAGAACAAAGGAGGCUUCAGGGCUGCCCUGCCACUGCUCCCAGCACAGAGAAGGCUUCUGGGCUGCUGUAGCACCGCUCCCAGCACAGAGGAGGCUUCCGGGACUCUGUACCACCACUACCAGCACAAAGGAGAUGAGCCACACAGGUGCCAGCAGGACACACACACACACACACACACACACACACACACACACCAUCAAAAUGAGAAGACAGUAAAAAAGUCUCAAAACCAGACUUCUAGAUCACAUACAGCAAGCCCAAAAGAAAAUGAGAUGGAACAUUCUGAUACUCAACCACCUGGAUUCCCUGAAUGGGCAAAAGAGGAUCUGGAAAAAAUGAAAUCAGAAAUAAUUACUCAGAUAACAGCAGAGAUUGUGCUCACAGUGCAAGACAUGAAUAAUAAAUCUAGACAGGAGCUGAGGAACAUGACGGAAUCACAAAAUAGGAAACAAAUUGAGUCCAUAAAACAGAUGCAGACAGAUUUCCAG
ensembl:lncRNA